rnacentral:misc_RNA from 1 species
AAGACUAUAGACCUGCGGAGUACCUGCGGAAGGAUCAUUACCGAGUUUACAACUCCCAAACCCAAUGUGAACGUUACCAAACUGUUGCCUCGGCGGGAUCUCUGCCCCGGGUGCGUCGCAGCCCCGGACCAAGGCGCCCGCCGGAGGACCAACCAAAACUCUUAUUGUAUACCCCCUCGCGGGUUUUUUUAUAAUCUGAGCCUUCUCGGCGCCUCUCGUAGGCGUUUCGAAAAUGAAUCA